UAGUAAGUGUGUAAGAGCGUACGGUGGAUGCCUUGGCACCAGGAGCCGAUGAAGGACGUAGGAGGCUGCGAUAAGCCUCGGGGAGCUGUCAACCGAGCUGAGAUCCGAGGAUUUCCGAAUGGGGAAACCCAGCACGAGUGAUGUCGUGUUACCCGCGUCUGAAUAUAUAGGGCGUGUGGAGGGAACGUGGGGAAGUGAAACAUCUCAGUACCCACAGGAAGAGAAAACAACAGUGAUUCCGUGAGUAGUGGCGAGCGAAAGCGGAAGAGGCUAAACCGAUUAUGUGUGAUAGACGGCAGUCGUUGCAUAGUCGGGGUUGUGGGACCUACUUACUCAAUUCUGCCGAGUUGGGCACAAGUAAGAAACCGUUGUGUUAGUCGAAUUGGUCUGGGACGGCCAACCGUAGAGGGUGAGAGUCCUGUAGACGAAAACUCAACGGCUUGUGUAGUAGGCACCCGAGUAGCAGCGGGCCCGUGAAAUCUGCUGUGAAUCUGUCGGGACCACCCGAUAAGCCUGAAUACUACCUGGUGACCGAUAGCGGACUAGUACCGUGAGGGAAAGGUGAAAAGUACCCCGGGAGGGGAGUGAAAUAGUACCUGAAACCGUGCGCUUACAAUCCGUCAGAGCUGACUUGUUCAGUGAUGGCGUGCCUUUUGAAGAAUGAGCCUGCGAGUCAUCGGUGUGUGGCGAGGUUAACCCGUGUGGGGUAGCCGUAGCGAAAGCGAGUCCGAAUAGGGCGAACCAGUCGCACACUAUGGACCCGAAGCGGAGUGAUCUACCCAUGGCCAGGGUGAAGCGACGGUAAGACGUCGUGGAGGCCCGAACCCACUUAGGUUGAAAACUGAGGGGAUGAGCUGUGGGUAGGGGUGAAAGGCCAAUCAAACUCCGUGAUAGCUGGUUCUCCCCGAAAUGCAUUUAGGUGCAGCGUCGCGUGUUUCUCACCGGAGGUAGAGCUACUGGAUGGCCUAGGGGGCCCACAAGCUUACCGAAGUCAGCCAAACUCCGAAUGCCGGUGAGUGAGAGCGCGGCAGUGAGACUGUGGGGGAUAAGCUUCAUAGUCGAGAGGGAAACAGCCCAGAUCGCCGGCUAAGGCCCCUAAGCGUGUACUAAGUGGAAAAGGAUGUGGAGUCGCGAAGACAACCAGGAGGUUGGCUUAGAAGCAGCCACCCUUGAAAGAGUGCGUAAUAGCUCACUGGUCAAGUGAUUCUGCGCCGACAAUGUAGCGGGGCUCAAGUACACCGCCGAAGCCGCGGCAUUCGCACAUAUAUCUUGCUUUCGAGCCAGGAGUGCGGAUGGGUAGGGGAGCGUCGUGUAGCCAGGGAAGCGGCGGAGUGAUCCAGCCGUGGAGGCUGCGCGAGUGAGAAUGCAGGCAUGAGUAGCGAAAGACGAGUGAGAAACUCGUCCGCCGAAUGACCAAGGGUUCCUGGGCCAGGUUAAUCCGCCCAGGGUGAGUCGGGACCUAAGGCGAGGCCGACAGGCGUAGUCGAUGGACAACGGGUUGAUAUUCCCGUACCCGUGUAUCCGCGCCCAAUGGCGAAUCAUCUGUGCUAACCGUCCAAAAGUUCCUUAAUCCACCUUCGGGUGGAAGGGGAACGGCUGCACGGGACCCUGGGUGUAGUAGUCAAGCGAUGGGGUGACGCAGGAAGGUAGCUGGGCCAGGUGAUGGAAUACCUGGUGUAAGCCUGUAGGGAGUGGUGUAGGCAAAUCCGCACCGCACAUAUCCUGAGAGGUGAUGCGUAGCCGAUUGAGGCGAAUUCAGUGAUCCUAUGCUGCCGAGAAAAGCCUCUAGUGAGUUGAUACACGGCCCGUACCCCAAACCGACACAGGUGGUCAGGUAGAGAAUACCGAGGCGAUCGAGAGAACUGUGGUUAAGGAACUCGGCAAAAUGCCCCCGUAACUUCGGGAGAAGGGGGACCUCGGCUGGUGACCGGAUUUACUCCGUGAGCUGGUUGGGGUCGCAGAGACCAGAGAGAAGCGACUGUUUACUAAAAACACAGGUCCGUGCGAAGUCGUAAGACGAUGUAUACGGACUGACGCCUGCCCGGUGCCGGAAGGUUAAGAGGACCGGUUAGCGCCUUCGGGUGCGAAGCUGAGAAUUUAAGCCCCGGUAAACGGCGGUGGUAACUAUAACCAUCCUAAGGUAGCGAAAUUCCUUGUCGGGUAAGUUCCGACCUGCACGAAUGGCGUAACGACUUCUCUGCUGUCUCAACCACAGACUCGGCGAAAUUGCAGUACGAGUAAAGAUGCUCGUUACGCGCGGCAGGACGAAAAGACCCCGGGACCUUCACUAUAGCUUGGUAUUGGUGUUCGGUACGGUUUGUGUAGGAUAGGUGGGAGACUGUGAAGCAGGCACGCCAGUGUUUGUGGAGUCGUCGUUGAAAUACCACUCUGAUCGUAUUGGACCUCUAACCUCGGACCCUGAUCGGGUUCAGGGACAGUGCCUGGUGGGUAGUUUAACUGGGGCGGUUGCCUCCCAAAAUGUAACGGAGGCGCCCAAAGGUUCCCUCAGCCUGGUUGGCAAUCAGGUGUCGAGUGCAAGUGCACAAGGGAGCUUGACUGUGAGACCGACAGGUCGAGCAGGGACGAAAGUCGGGACUAGUGAUCCGGCACCGGCAAGUGGAAGCGGUGUCGCUCAACGGAUAAAAGGUACCCCGGGGAUAACAGGCUGAUCUUCCCCAAGAGUCCAUAUCGACGGGAUGGUUUGGCACCUCGAUGUCGGCUCGUCGCAUCCUGGGGCUGGAGUAGGUCCCAAGGGUUGGGCUGUUCGCCCAUUAAAGCGGCACGCGAGCUGGGUUUAGAACGUCGUGAGACAGUUCGGUCUCUAUCCGCCGCGCGCGUCAGAAACUUGAGGAAGGCUGUCCCUAGUACGAGAGGACCGGGACGGACGAACCUCUGGUGUGCCAGUUGUUCCGCCAGGAGCACGGCUGGUUUGCUACGUUCGGAAGGGAUAACCGCUGAAAGCAUCUAAGCGGGAAGCCUGUUCCAAGAUGAGGUUUCUCACC
rnacentral:rRNA from 1 species